rfam:Helobdella robusta unplaced genomic scaffold HELROscaffold_24, whole genome shotgun sequence.
CAAAAGGCUCUUUUCAGAGCCGCCCAAUUUUAACGACUGUUUGCCU